GUCAGGAUGGCCGUGCGGUCUAAGGCGGAAGACUCAAGUUUCAAAACUUGCUCCGCUAAUUUCGAGCCAAAGGGCGUUCUGGUCCACAAAUGGUGGCGUGGGUUCAAAUCCCACUCCUGACA
rnacentral:tRNA from 1 species